rnacentral:lncRNA from 1 species
UUUUCCACGGCUUUCUCUUAGGGAUGUAUGAAUUGCUUACAUUUGGCCCUUGCUUCUACAAGGGCCAAAUAACUGAGAAUUAUUUGUCAAAACAAAUCAUCAGAGCACAUUGACUUUAAAUGCUCAUCCCCAUUAAGAGAUAGGCUGGAAAGAGCUGUCUCUUGGGUACAUUUUUUAAACUAUUCUUUACAAAUAUAUUUGUGUAUUCAUGCCUAUCUUUAAAAUUAAUAUUUCUCUAGCUCUUUCUAAUAGAUUUUUUUUUUUUUUUAUUUUUUUUUUCAGUUAGACAGAUUACUGCCUCCUUGCAAAUACGUCAUGACUUUUUUUUUUUUUUCUUGUGUCCCAGAAAUGGGGAAGAUUAAUAGACAAUCUUUCAGCAACAUUUGUUUGUGUCAGGAAAAAAAAUACGCAUUCCUCCAUUCAUAGACAGCACAAGUAAACUGCCAUAGCCAGAGAACUCAGUCUGUUGAAUACACAGAAAUGAGUGCCAGGAUCUCAGUGAACAGCCAGAGGCACAAUUUAUUAUCUCGUUUUUUAUCUCAAUUUAUUAUCUCAUUUUAUUAUUAUCUCAUUUCUUGUAUGUUAGGUCAAACUUGGAAAAAGAAUGUUAAUUAAAAAAAAUAAAUCAAUCUUUGUACUUUGUCAGAGUUACAUAAAAUAUUUUCUUUCAUAAAUCAUUCUGUGAAAUCCAUGUCCAUAGGAAUAUAAAACCUGCAUACCAAUCGUAUGGCCAAAUAUAUUUUAGAAGAAAGGAAGCUCUUUAUAUUGAGACUGUGAAGUGUAUUUUAAGGAUGAGACCACAACUUUCUCCAUAAUUAACUUUGAAUGAUGAUAGUCUGCAGUGACCAGGUGGGUCUGAGCCAAGCUGGGAAGUCACACCAGCCAAGCUGGGGUACCUGGAGCAUAGGCCACAGAAGGACAAAAGAACAGGUCUGAACUUAAAUGCAGCUCAGGAGCGAAGGCAGGGGGAGGCUUCCCAAAGCUGUUUUCUCAGGAGCCUGAUGGAGGUUAUGCUGCUGUACUGCAUCAGAGCAUAGCUUGGCUGGCACCUAAAGCCCACCGGGGUGGGAAAGAAAGGCUGUGUGGAGGAGGGUGGUUUGAAGCUGCUUGUGUACUCAGCUCUAAGAUGGUGUUCCCUGUCUUUGGGGUGUUUUCAGGUGCUAUAAUUAAGUUGAACAGGUGCAAUUUUUCAAAGUAA